rnacentral:misc_RNA from 1 species
CAACCCUCAAAACCCCUGGUUUUGGUGUUGAAGGACGACCCUGUAAUAGGGGUCCCCUUCUAAAUUCAGUGGCGGGCUCGCUAGUAUUUUGAGCGUAGUAAUUUUAUACCUCGUUUAUUAAAGACUGGCGGGACUUCUAGCCGUAAAACCCCCUAAUAUCUGAAA